UGUAAAGACUAUUCUUCUAUUAUGGUAAAAUCUUUUGGGAAGAACCACAUGAUUUCAUUUUCUUUGGUUUAUGAAUUGGUUUUGCUUAUUAUGAAUUUUGUUGAUUGUUGAUUGUUACUAUGAUGAUGUUGGCUUGUUCUGCCAUUAGUUACUUUGUUGAUUGAAUUUUUUUCUUUAAUGAGAUUUUGUUCUGAGCAAUGUUAGGAGAAAAUAGUUCUGCUUUGUCAUCAGUUCCUACUCUGUCAUCUGCUGCUGUUCCGUGCUCUCCUCUCCGCUUGCGUCCACUACGCCGUCCCCCACCUCGUCCGCUGAGGUUCGGUUACGCAUGUAAAGUGGCUGGGAAUUCUAAGUUGAUUCUCUCAAUGGCCUGAAUGACUCAAGUAAAAUUGCUGCAUUUGAUUUUGAUGGCCUGAAUGACUCAAGUAAAAAUCUUAGAAUUCUGGAGAAGAUUGCCCAAAUAUUCAAAGAGGAUUUGAAGUUUGGUGGAGAAGAGCUUUCUGGAAGCGGAAUGGAGAGUAAGAAUAGACAAGACAAUUACGAAUUACAGCUACAAUAGUUGAUAAUCCUUGAAGACAAGCAGUCCCAGCAUCGUGGAAUUGACAGCAUUUUACUGGUUACAUGGAAGAAAUAAGAGUUCAUGUGCUAUCAAUUUAAUUUAGUUGAUAAGAUUUCAUGUUUAACUGGCUACCGCAAGGUGGGGCUGGUGGUCUAAGUUUUCUGCUUUGUGUGAGAGACUAUACUAAGCAAAGCAACUGCUGAUGUUGACAAAGGAGUCCAUGAUGAGACUGGUUUCUUUUAGGUGGUUCUGUUUUUUGAAAAUAUGGGCUUGGAUAAAGAAACUAUUGGGAGAAUUAUUUUUCGCUGCCAGCAUUGAUAAAACUCUUUAGAGGAAGAUUGAAUUCCUUUCUAGGGUUGGCGUUUUUUAAGCUUAUUUUCCUGGGAUAAUUAGAAAAUAUCCGGAAUUACUUGUAACCAACACUGAUACAACUAUAUUGUAUCCGAGAUUUUUUGGUUCACUAAGUAUAUAAAUGUUUAUUUUUCUA